CUUCCCGACCUGCACAGCACAUCCCACUAACACCAGCAGAGAGUGCUGUGGCGAUUUCCCAGCCUGUAAGCGCCAACACACCAGAGACUGUUACCCUGAAACCAAGUGAGGUGACAACCCAUACACCAACACCAGGACGUGUUCAGACCAGGUCUGGCCGUGUCAGUAAGCCGGCCACUAGGUUGGACUUGUAGACAGGAGUGUUUUGGGUGUUUCACAAUGACCUCUGGGGGUGAAUGAAAAAAAACACCUAUGGCCUUUGGGGGGGAGAAAAUGAAUAGGGAAACACAGGUGGACUCUGAGUCUGCUGAAUUUUGGGUUCUGUUUAUUGUGAAUGUUAUGCACACAUGUGAUAUUACUGCUGCAAUGUUUAGAAAAGAAAACUUGCAUCUUGAAUUUUAUUUUAUAACAGCACUACUGAAGGUAUUGCGGAUGAUGCUGUGACUAAUCUGUCAAAACUCUUUACAGUUAUUUAAAAUUAAAUAAC